GAUGAACGCUGGCGGCGUGCCUAAUACAUGCAAGUCGAGCGAAGCGGGGACGGGUGAGUAACACGUGGAUAACCUCCUAUAAGACUGGGAUAACUUCGGGAAACCGGAGCUAAUCCCGUUACUUAUAGAUGGAUCUGCGCUGCAUUAGCUAGUUGGUAAGGUAACGGGUUACCAAGGCGACGAUGCAUAGGCGAUCUGAGAGGUGGAUCAGCCACACUGGAAAUGAGACACGGUACAGAAGCCUACGGGAGGCAGCAGUAGGGAAUGUUCCGCAAUGGGCGAAAGCCUGACGGAGCAACGCAGCGUGAGUGAUGAAGGUCUGCGGAUCGGAAAACGCUGUUAUUAGGGAGGCGGUACCUAAUCAGAAAGCCACGGCUAACUACGUGCCAGCAGCCGCGGUAAUAC
rnacentral:rRNA from 1 species